AUGGGUUUUCAUAAUACCUCCAUUUUCCGUCUAUUAAAGACAAUCUGGUAUCCACGAUUAUCUAAAGGAACUGCACCGACUCUGUUCCCUGUGGUUCAAUGCGGCUCUGGGACUGGAAAUCAAAUCACUGUUGGUUGUCUGGCUCAUGACUUCAUCCCAAAGAGUACUUUCCAGUGGACGGAUGACAGCGGGACCAGUUUACCUUCUGUACAAUAUUCUACAACUGUCAAUGACAACAAAUUCACAGGUCUUAGUCUGGCCCGAGUAUCCAAAUCUGACUGGGAUUCAAGGAAAUCUUUUAACUGUUCUAUGACGUAUCCUGGAGGAUCCAAAAGUGUCAACUUGCAAGACAACACACUCCCUCCAAAGAUAACGUUGGUAUCGGUGCCAAGAGAAGACAUUCGGGCUCUGAUGUGUUCAAUUUAUGAUUUUUACCCCGAAAAAUUGACAGUAAAAUGGAAGAAAAAUGAAAUAGAAGAAACUGGCUUCACUACUUGGCCCCCCAAAUCAUUCAGGAACACGUUUUCAGCUGUCAGUGUUCUGAAUGUGAAGAACACAGACUGGGACAGUAAAGCCGUGUACACAUGUGAGGUGACACACAAAGGCAAAUUAUAUAUGAAGAAGGCCUCAAAAGCUGCUGUCACAUUGGCCCUUAACCAACCAAGUCCCAAAGAAUUGUUCAACAACAACCAGGCAAAGUUGGACUGUAUCGUUUCUGGACAAGACAGUAGUGUUGUAAACGACAUGAGAAUAACUUGGCAAAUUAAUGAACACAAUGUGUCUGAUGCCAUUACUUCAACGCCAAAUUCCAGAAAUGGUCAACACAGCAAAAUCAGUACGUUGACUCGGAGUCUCUCAGAGUGGCAGACAGUCAACAAAGUGAGAUGUUCUGCCAUGAGAGACAAUAUGACACCAGUAAUUCAAGACCUGACUGUCCAUAAAGGAGAUUGGAAGAAAACAAAAGUGACCGUCCACGUCCUCCCAGAGGAGGAAAUCAGCAAAGGAAACGAGGUCACUCUAGUGUGCCUGGUCUCCAGUCUUGAACAGCAGGAUUACUACAUCGCCUGGUCUGAGUACAUUGGACAAAAGACUGGAAACUAUGUUGAUGGCAUUAACUUCCCACCUCAGAAGACCCAACAAGGCUACUCAGUAACAAGUGUUUACUACACAACCAAGGACAAGUGGAACAACCACAUGUACACGUGCAACGUCUGGCCUGCUGGCAGCAAUAGUUCCAUGAAUCCACAGGCAGUGUCUAAGGCCCAGGAGUCAAAAGUGAGUUGGGGUGAAUACAAUAUACAUGAUGCCGUUGAAGAGGAUGAGUUCAGCAGCUUGUGGUCCACAGCUGCCUCUUUCAUAUUCCUCUUCAUAGCCUCUCUCUUCUACAGCAUGAUAAUCAGCCUAGUCAAGAUAAGGAGUCAAUAAGGGAUGGAACGGAUGCACAACACAGACAAGCAAAUUUGUGAUUUUUGGUAUUUCAUUUUAAUCUAGUUUUAAAAACAUGAACAUAAUCCACAAACUACUGUAUAUUGUAAUUUCAAAAAUGUGAUAUAUGAUGUUUAAAAAUUCUAUUAAAGUGUAUUUUCUGUAACCUAAA